ACAAGCGUAAGUAACAAACCCCCGGGAGUGUCGACGAAUCGAGCUCAUCGUCUUCUCUCUAUGCUGAAAACGUGCAAACGUUUCUGGACGAGGAAACAGUGGAGCACCGCAGUGAACGUGGCUUUGCUGCAGCAGAUCCGGGGUGAGGAGCCUGUUUGCAUUCCACCUUAGUUGCAAAACAAUGGAGGUGAAGCUUGAACAGCAGGACGAAGAUAUCGCAUUCAGCAACACUGACACUAAUGGUAAACGGCCAGCUGAGGACAUGGAAGAAGAGCAGGCCUUCAAACGUUCUCGCAACGCAGAUGAGAUGGUGGAGCUGCGUGUGUUGCUUCAGAGCAAAAAUGCCGGUGCUGUUAUCGGAAAGGGUGGCAAGAACAUAAAAGCUCUACGCACAGACUACAAUGCCAGUGUAUCAGUCCCAGACAGCAGUGGCCCAGAGCGGAUCCUGAGUGUGAAUGCCAGCAUCGACACUAUUGGAGAUAUUCUGCUAAAAAUCAUACCGACUCUAGAGGAGUACCAGCAUUACAGUGGGAUUGAUUUUGACUCUGAGCUUCGUCUGCUGAUCCAUCAGAGCUUGGCAGGUGGCAUCAUCGGGGUAAAAGGUGCCAAGAUAAAGGAGUUGAGAGAGAACACCCAGACCACCAUCAAGCUGUUCCAGGAAUGCUGUCCACACUCCACUGACCGAGUCGUCUUGGUGGGAGGAAAGCCAGAACGGGUCAUUGAAUGUAUAAAAGUUAUCCUGGAGCUGGUGUCAGAGGCGCCAAUCAAAGGUCGUGCCCAGCCUUAUGACCCUAAUUUCUACGAUGAGACGUACGACUACGGCGGUUUCACUAUGUUAUUCGAGGAGAGAGGCAGACGACCCAUUGGUGGCUUCCCCAUUCGUGUGCGUGGGGGCUUUGAGCGCAUGCCCCCGGUUCGUGGCAACAGACCUAUACCUCCCUCCAGAAGGGACUACGAUGACAUAAGCCCCCGUCGGGGUCCGCCACCUCCGCUGAGCAGAGGUGGACGAGGGGGCAGCCGAGCACGUAAUCUGCCUCUUCCCCCGCCACCACCGCCAAGAGGAGGGGGAGACAGGUUCUCACAUGGCAGCUAUCAUGGUGGCAUGGACGACAGACCAAGUGACAGAAGAGGCCGAGGAGGAGACCGUUAUGACAGCAUGAGUGGAGGUGGUUAUGACAACAAUUCUUCCUGGGAGCACUUUCAGUCUGGUGGCAGAGGCUCAUACAGUGAUAUUGGAGGCCCAGUCAUCACAACACAAGUCACCAUACCAAAAGAUCUGGCUGGCUCCAUCAUCGGUAAGGGCGGCCAGAGGAUCAAGCAGAUCCGCCAUGAAUCUGGGGCAUCUAUCAAGAUUGAUGAACCACUAGAGGGCUCUGAGGACCGCAUCAUCACCAUCACAGGAACACAGGACCAGAUCCAGAACGCCCAGUACCUGCUGCAGAACAGGCAUGUGCUCCUGUGACUCCCCCAAACAACUCAUCUCAUUGGAGCAGUGUGGUCUCCUCUGAUGGCCUGUAGGCUCAUCCACCACUGGAUGGAAUGUGAGGCAGUACUCUGGUCGGUUCUUCUAGGAAGAGAGGAAGUGAAGAAGAGCGAAGCCAUGCUGCCAUACUGUUUCCUCCUAUUCAGAGCCUACAUUCCUCUGCUUUGCCUCCUCCCCUCACUAUCACACACUACACCAUCGACCUAUAAAUCACAAUUUUUAUUUAGAGGCAUUUAAAAAAACUUUAAGCUGUCAAACAGCAAAGGAGUCAACGUGUUUGUGUGCUGGUGUAAUUCUUUUUAUGAGAUUAUUGUGCCGUCAGUGGAGUAAACUCAUACUGUGUGUGUGAUAACUUUUGGUGUUGUGAGCUGCCCUGGGCCCUUAUCUCAUUCAUUUCAAUACAGCAUGCAGAAUGUAAUCUUUUUGUAAGGAACAUUAUGUGAGGAUUUUUUUUCUCUCUCUACCCCCCCCCCCCUUAAAUGUUUAAGCACACUCUAAAUAAAGAUGCAUGGUUUCAGAAUGGUUAAGGAACCAUUGAAAUAAACUUUAAUUUUUACAUAACAUCCAAUAUCCUUUUCCACUUUCAAAUUAAGUGCUUUUUGUAAGAUGGGCUUUAAUGGAGUAGUUUGACAUUUUGAGUAAUACGCUUAUUUAUCUUUGUGCUAGGCUAACCAGCUGCUAGCAGUAACCUUCAUUAAAGCUGUGGUAGGCAAUUUAUUUUUGGCUUUAUUGGGCACAAUGUUUAUUAUAAUCUCUCAGCAUAUUGUAAUUCAAAUGGUCAGAGAAAACUAGACCUCUGCACAUCAUCUGGGCUCUGUUUUUAGGCUUUAGAAAUCUAGCUAUGAUGGGAGACUUUGGUCUAUCACAGGUCAUUUAAGAGAAAGAGAGGGUUCCUAUUAGCUGUUCUGCGCAUGCAUUGCCCAUGCCAUAUUGAUGGGACAGGUGGAGCUGCAGGAAGAGGUCUCCCUCAAAUUCUGGCUUAUUUUGCAUUCUACCCACUGCAGCUUUAACUCUUUACCAGAUAGUGAAUAAGCCUAUUUCUCAAAAUGUCAUCCUUUUGCUUUAAGUUGGGAUACAUGUGCCAGUGUGAUAUAACAAAAAAAACAUUUUUAAGAUUUUUUGUUUUUCAUAGAAAGACAAAGAGCUGUAUAAAGUGUGUAUGUGUGUAUAUAUUUAAAUAGAAACAGUAAUUUCAUGAGUGGUUAGGUUAGAUAGGCCCAAAAUACUUAAAAGCCAUAAGACUGGUUUGGUUUUAUUUUUCUAUGUUAUUUGUUUUAUUUUCUGCCAAUUAUGACUCGCUGUAAUGCAACAUCAAUUUCUGAUCUGUUUGAUCCAUUAUUCCUUUUAAUUUGAACAGUUUGGAAACAUCUGUAAAGUUUUGAAUAGGCUAUUGGGUGCCGUUUGAAACGAGGAGCAUACAGCUGGAGUCCAUGAGUGUUUUCUAUCCGGUCAUAUCUGUAGCUCUGUGUCUGAUUAUCUGUAGUACCUGCAGGUGUUUAGUAAAUAAAGUCCGUGUCACAGUUCA